rnacentral:rRNA from 1 species
UACGUAGGGGGCAAGCGUUGACCGGAAUUACUGGGUGUAAAGGGCGUGUAGGCGGGAUCUUAAGUCAGAUGUGAAAUUCCAGGGCUCAACUCUGGCGCUGCAUCUGAAACUGAGAUUCUUGAGUGCUGGAGAGGAAAGCGGAAUUCCUAGUGUAGCGGUGAAAUGCGUAGAUAUUAGGAGGAACACCAGUGGCGAAGGCGGCUUUCUGGACAGUAACUGACGCUGAGGCGCGAAAGCGUGGGGAGCAAACAGG